UCCUCCGCUUAUUGAUAUGCUUAAGUUCAGCGGGUAGUCCUACCUGAUUUGAGGUCAAAAUGUCAAGAGUUGUCCUGAAAGGACGGUUAUAAGCAGGUUCCCAUUAGUUUGCUUCAAAGUCAAGAUGGCAUAGAUAAUUAUCACACCAAGUGACGGUCCACAAGAGAUCCCACUAAUGCAUUUAAAGGGAGCAGACCAUCCACUGAAGGAAGCCAGCAAAGACCCUCACAUCCAAGCCUAACUCAAGCCGGUAAAAGCGAGCAAGGUUGAUAAUUUAAUGACACUCAAACAGGCAUGCCC
rnacentral:misc_RNA from 1 species